CCUACGGGUGGCUGCAGUGGGGGAUAUUGCACAAUGGGGGGAACCCUGAUGCAGCGACGCCGCGUGGGGGAAGACGGUCCUCUGGAUUGUAAACCACUGUCACCAGGGACGAAAAUGACGGUACCUGGGGAGGAAGCGCAGGCUAACUACGUGCCAGCAGCCGCGGUAAUACGGAGGGAGCGAGCGUUGUCCGGAAUGACUGGGUGUAAAGGGAGCGGAGGAGGGGAUGCCAGUUGGGGGUCAAAACUACCGGCUCAACUGGUAGUCGCACUCCAAACUGCAGCUCUUGCGUGAAGUAGAGGCCGGCGGACUUCCUAGUGUAGCGGUGAACUGCUUCGAUCUUAGGAG
rnacentral:rRNA from 1 species